UCCUCGCGUGCGCUGUGCGAGUCUCUAUACACCUUGCUACGCGUGUUCGUCUACUUGACAGCUCUUCAGCACUGCUCUUGCUUCCUCCCUAGCUGAUCCCGUGUGCCGGCGUGUACUUGUGUCCGCGAUCGACCUCUCCGCCUGACCCCUCUUCUCCUCGCCACGCCACUCCAGCUUUCAACGCCACAUGGGGUGAGGCGAGGGUCAGAGAGCAGCUGCCAAGUGUUCCCGCAGCGCCACGAGGUGAAGAGGGCGUACCAGUGUGCGUGAGUGCGUGCAGUAGCGUUGAUGUUGCGUACGGUGCCCGCCCGAUGGUGGCUCCUUGGAGAUUUGCGAGCGUCUUCUCUCUUGCGCAUCGCGCAUACCGCAUUUUGCUGUCUUUUCGUUUUGCUGUUGUUUUCCAUACACGUGUGUGUGUGGGGGGGUUGGGGGGCUCUCCCUGGUGAUGACCGGCCACCUCGUCGCGGCGUCUGGGUUCAGUGCCCACUCUUUAUGGGCGGGCCAACAGCUCGCAGCCUGCCCUUGGGCACGAUAGCGGGCUCUUGGUGUCGGCGGACAGGCCUGUGCCAUCUCGUUUCGCUGAAGAUGCUUGCUACCAUGAUGCAGUCCGGGCAAACUGAGAAUUGUGUCUAUGAUUCACCAUACAUGCGCAUCCAACCAUUGCUCCCCUGUGCCCCUUCAG
rnacentral:misc_RNA from 1 species